GAAUAGACGACUUAGUCUUGACUCGAGUCUCGACCCGUUCUACUUAGGACUGGACUUGAACCUUGUGACUCAAAUAAUAGUGACUUGGUACCACCUCUGCGGACCACUCCCCCUUUGAGUGUGAGUCGUCCUUCUACCUUACUUCAAAUCAAGGCAGUUCGCCUUUCAAUCACUUCCAUUCAAGUGGGAAAUACGAGAAUAGUAUUAGUAAGGCAGUUUUCAAGAGUCGACUUUUGAACCAGAUUGAUGCAAAUGGCAUUGUGAAAGUGGACUUUCCCUUGCUC